rnacentral:rRNA from 1 species
GUUUGAUCCUGGCUCAGGAUGAACGCUGGCGGCGUGCNUAACACAUGCAAGUCGAGCGAUGAAAUUAGUGCUUGCACUAAUGGAAUAGCGGCGGACGGGUGAGUAACGCGUGGGUAACCUGGCCUAUACAGGGGGAUAGCAACGGGAAACUGUUGGUAAUACCGCGUAAGCUUAGAAUACCGCAUGGUAGACUAAGGAAAGAUUUAUCGGUAUAGGAUGGGCCCGCGACUGAUUAGCUAGUUGGCAGGGUAAAGGCCUACCAAGGCGACGAUCAGUAGCCGAUCUGAGAGGAUGACCGGCCACAUUGGGACUGAGACACGGCCCAAACUCCUACGGGAGGCAGCAGUGGGGAAUAUUGCACAAUGGAGGGAACUCUGAUGCAGCAACGCCGCGUGAAGGAAGAAGGUUUUCGGAUCGUAAACUUCUAUCGACAGGGAAGAAAAGAAUGACGGUACCUGAAUAAGAAGCCCCGGCUAACUACGUGCCAGCAGCCGCGGUAAUACGUAGGGGGCAAGCGUUAUCCGGAAUUACUGGGUGUAAAGGGUGAGCAGGCGGUUAAGCAAGCCAUAUGUGAAAGUCUAAGGCUUAACCUUAGGAAUGCAUAAGGAACUGUGUAACUAGAGUGCAGGAGAGGCAAGUGGAAUUCCUAGUGUAGCGGUGAAAUGCGUAGAUAUNNGGANGAACACCAGUGGCGAAGGCGACUUGCUGGACUGUAACUGACGCUGAGUCACGAAAGCGUGGGGAGCAAACAGGAUUAGAUACCCUGGUAGUCCACGCUGUAAACGAUGAGUGCUAGGUGUUGGUCAGGAAUGAUCGGUGCCGUAGCUAACGCAAUAAGCACUCCACCU